UGGGGAAUCUUGCGCAAUGGGCGAAAGCCUGACGCAGCGACGCCGCGUGUGGGAUGAAGGUCUUCGGAUUGUAAACCACUGUCGGGAGGGACGAAGCUCUGACGGUACCUCCAAAGGAAGCACCGGCUAACUCUGUGCCAGCAGCCGCGGUAAUACGUAGGGACCAAGCGUUGUUCGGAUUUACUGGGCGUAAAGGGCGCGUAGGCGGCAAUUCAAGUCAUCUGUGAAAUCUCCGGGCUUAACUCGGAACGGUCAGAUGAUACUGCUUUGCUAGAGUGCAGAAGGGGCAAUCGGAAUUCUUGGUGUAGCGGUGAAAUGCGUAGAUAUCAAGAGGAACACCUGAGGUGAAGACGGGUUGCUGGACCGACACUGACGCUGAGGCGCGAAAGCUAGGGGAGCAAACGGGAUUAGAUACCCUAGUAGUCCCUGAGCGGGCUGGCAAGGCGCAU
rnacentral:rRNA from 1 species